ACGGGUGAGUAACGCGUGGGAAUCUACCCAUCCCUACGGAAUAACGCAUGGAAACGUGUGCUAAUACCGUAUACGCCCUACGGGGGAAAGAUUUAUCGGGGAUGGAUGAGCCCGCGUUGGAUUAGCUAGUUGGUGGGGUAAAGGCCUACCAAGGCGACGAUCCAUAGCUGGUCUGAGAGGAUGAUCAGCCACAUUGGGACUGAGACACGGCCCAAACUCCUACGGGAGGCAGCAGUGGGGAAUAUUGGACAAUGGGCGCAAGCCUGAUCCAGCCAUGCCGCGUGAGUGAUGAAGGCCUUAGGGUUGUAAAGCUCUUUCACCGGAGAAGAUAAUGACGGUAUCCGGAGAAGAAGCCCCGGCUAACUUCGUGCCAGCAGCCGCGGUAAUACGAAGGGGGCUAGCGUUGUUCGGAAUUACUGGGCGUAAAGCGCACGUAGGCGGAUAUUUAAGUCAGGGGUGAAAUCCCAGAGCUCAACUCUGGAACUGCCUUUGAUACUGGGUAUCUUGAGUAUGGAAGAGGUAAGUGGAAUUCCGAGU
rnacentral:rRNA from 1 species